AAAUGAAUAGACGGGAGCCCGCACAAGCGGUGGAGCAUGUGGUUUAAUUCGUCAAUAAGCGAAGAACCUUACCAAGGCUUGACAUCCUAGGAAUUUUUUGGAAACAAAGAAGUGCCUUCGGGAGCCUAGUGACAGGUGCUGCAUGGCCGUCGUCAGCUCGUGUCGUGAGAUGUUGGGUUAAGUCCCGCAACGAGCGCAACCCCUUUUCAAUGUUGGAUUUUCAUUGGAGACUGCCUGGGAUAACCAGGAGGAAGGUGGGGAUGACGUCAGGUCAGCAUGGCCCUUUGAUGCCUUGGGCGACACACGUGCUACAAUGCGAAGUUACAAUAGGCCGCUUAGUCGUAAGAUGAAGCAAAUCCUACCAAACCUUCGCUCAGUUCAGAUUGGGGUCUGCAACUCGACCCCAUGAAGUUGGAAUCGCUAGUAAUCGCAAAUCAGCCACGUUGCGGUGAAUACGUUCUCGGGCUUUGUACACACCGCCCGU
rnacentral:rRNA from 1 species